GCACAAGAGGAUAUCUCCAUCGGUAGAGAAUGAGACUCUUAAUCUCAGGGCUGUGGGUUUGAGCCCCACAUUGGGUA